GGGUCGAUAGCUCAGUUUGGUAGAGCAAGCGGCUGCAGUUUCAUGUUUCCGCUAGGUCCUGCGUUCGAGUCGCGGUCGGCCCU
rnacentral:tRNA from 1 species